UAGAGAGGUUCUAUAUCUAGCCUGUUC
rnacentral:piRNA from 1 species